rnacentral:misc_RNA from 1 species
GAGUUCUCAACACCUCCAUCGAGCCCCGAAAGCAAGAGCCCAGUUAUCCAGCCACCGUCAGGCUCAUGGCUCCAGUGGAUAAAAGCACCGUACCGUCAGAACCAGUCUUUAACGUCAGGACCGAGCAGCCGUGUGGAGGACAUCCAGGACCCAUUUGUGAUACCCUCUGAUUACACCUGGACGACCCCAGAGGCGAGGAAGAAGAAAAUGAAGGAUACCAAGGGCAAGUCGAAG